CGGACGGGUGAAUAAUGUCUGGGAAACUGCCCGAUGGAGGGGGAUAACUACUGGAAACGGUAGCUAAUACCGCAUAACGUCGCAAGACCAAAGAGGGGGACCCUCGGGCCUCUUGCCAUCGGAUGUGCCCAGAUGGGAUUAGCUAGUAGGUGGGGUAACGGCUCACCUAGGCGACGAUCCCUAGCUGGUCUGAGAGGAUGACCAGCCACACUGGAACUGAGACACGGUCCAG
rnacentral:rRNA from 1 species